AUUGAACGCUGGCGGAAUGCUUUACACAUGCAAGUCGAGCGGCAGCACGGGGGCAACCCUGGUGGCGAGCGGCGAACGGGUGAGUAAUACAUCGGAACAUGCCCAGUCGUGGGGGAUAACACUUCGAAAGAAGUGCUAAUACCGCAUACGUCCUGAGGGGGAAAGCGGGGGAUCGCAAGACCUCGCGCGAUUGGAGUGGCCGAUGUCAGAUUAGCUAGUUGGUGGGGUAAAGGCCUACCAAGGCAACGAUCUGUAGCUGGUCUGAGAGGAUGAUCAGCCACACUAGGACUGAGACACGGCCCAGACUCCUACGGGAGGCAGCAGUGGGGAAUUUUGGACAAUGGGGGCAACCCUGAUCCAGCCACUCCGCGUGAGUGAAGAAGGCCUUCGGGUUGUAAAGCUCUUUCGGCAGGAACGAAACGGUGAGCUCUAACAUAGCUUGCUAAUGACGGUACCUGAAGAAGAAGCACCGGCUAACUACGUG
rnacentral:rRNA from 1 species